rnacentral:rRNA from 1 species
GACGAACGCUGGCGGCGUGCUUAACACAUGCAAGUCGAACGAAGUGGCGAACGGGUGAGUAACGCGUAAUCAACCUGCCCUUCAGAGGGGGACAACAGUUGGAAACGACUGCUAAUACCGCAUCCUGAAGGAGGGGAUUGCGUGUGAUUGGCUAGUGGGAGGGGUAACGGCCCAACAAGGCGAUGUUCAGUGGCCGGUCUGAGAGGAGGAACGGCCAAAUUGGGACUGAGAAACGGCCCAGACUCCUACGGGAGGCAGCGGUGGGGAAUCUUCCGCAAUGGACGAAAGUCUGACAGAGCAACGCCGCGUGAGUGAUGACGGCCUCGGGUUGUAAAGCUCUGUUAAUCGGGACGCGGUACCGGAAUAGAAAGCCACGGCUAACUACGUGCCAGCAGCCGCGGUAAUAC